rnacentral:rRNA from 1 species
GAUGAACGCUCGCGGCAGGCCUAACACAUGCAAGUCGAGGGAGAGGUUACCUUCGGGUACCCAAAACCGGCGCACGGGUGCGUAACGCGUAUACAAUCUGCCUUUCACAUAGGGAUAGCCCGAAGAAAUUUGGAUUAAUACCUAAUGGUAUAUAAGAGCGGCAUCGUUUUUAUAUUAAAGCUACGGUGGUGAAAGAUGAGUAUGCGUUCUAUUAGCUAGUUGGAGAGGUAACGGCUCCCCAAGGCGACGAUAGAUAGGGGUUCUGAGAGGGAUGUCCCCCACACUGGUACUGAGAUACGGACCAGACUCCUACGGGAGGCAGCAGUGAGGAAUAUUGGACAAUGGUCGGAAGACUGAUCCAGCCAUGCCGCGUGCAGGAUGAAGGUCCUAUGGAUUGUAAACUGCUUUUGUAAGGGAAGAAUAAGGAGUACGUGUACUUUGAUGACGGUACCUUACGAAUAAGCAUCGGCUAACUCCGUG